rnacentral:rRNA from 1 species
UACAGCGGUCUCAAGCGUUGUUCGGAUUCAUUGGGCGUAAAGGGUGCGUAGGUGGCGCUGUAAGUCGGGUGUGAAAUUUCGGAGCUUAACUCCGAAACUGCAUUCGAUACUGAGGUGCUUGAGGACUGGAGAGGAGACUGGAAUUCAUGGUGUAGCAGUGAAAUGCGUAGAGAUCAUGAGGAAGACCAGUGGCGAAGGCGGGUCUCUGGACAGUUCCUGACACUGAGGCACGAAGGCCAGGGGAGCAAACGGG